GAAGUUUCUAAGAGCUCGUUUGAAACUGCUUCUGUUUCGAGUUUCUAAAUAUGGCAUCAGAAGCUUCAGCUCUGGAGCUGAUUAGGCGACACCUUUUGAAUGAAUUUACCACAAUGGAUAGCUUCAUCACUAGUCUCGACCUUUGCACCUCUGUCCCCCAACAAGAUGAAAUUGCCCAAUCACCCUUUAACACAACUUCCUCCUCCUCCACCACCACCGCCACCACCAGCACCACCAACAGUGGUAGUGAGUCCACUGACCAAUAUUUCAAAAUCUCUGAUUACUUAGUCCCAGAAAUUGAUCGAGACACCCAAUUCGAAACCAAACCCCAAAUCUCGCACCCAAAACCACCAAAACACUCGACUCUCAGCCACCGCAAGCCCACCAUAAACGUGGCAAUUCCAUCCCCACCACCUCUGUCUUCUUCUUGUACUGAUGAAGAUCAAAACACAUCGAACACUUCCACCAUGGUUGAAGCUGCUGCAAGGCACUACAGGGGUGUGAGGAGAAGGCCGUGGGGAAAGUACGCGGCGGAGAUUCGUGACCCAAACAGAAGGGGUUCC
rnacentral:lncRNA from 1 species